CGCUCGGCGCUGCCCCCGGCGGCCCCUCCCGGCAGCGCAGCCGCCGCCCCGCCCCGCUCGGCCCGCGCAGCCGCCGCCGCCAUGGCCGCGCUGCACGCCAAGGCCGGCGGGCCCCCGCAGAUCCCCGACACCCGCCGGGAACUGGCCGAGCUGGUGAAGCGCAAGCAGGAGCUGGCGGAGACGCUGGCCAACCUGGAGCGGCAGAUCUACGCCUUCGAGGGCAGCUACCUGGAGGACACGCAGAUGUACGGGAACAUCAUCCGCGGCUGGGACCGCUACCUCACCAACCAGAAGAACUCCAACAGCAAAAACGACCGCAGGAACCGCAAGUUCAAGGAGGCUGAACGGCUCUUCAGCAAGUCCUCGGUCACCUCGGCAGCAGCGGUCAGUGCGUUAGCUGGAGUCCAGGACCAGCUCAUUGAGAAGCGGGAGCCGGGCAGUGGCACAGAAAGUGACACUUCUCCAGACUUUCACAAUCAGGAGAACGAGCCCAACCAGGAGGACGCUGAGGAGCUGGAUGGGUCUGUGCAGGGGGUGAAGCCCCAGAAAGCUGCGUCCUCCACUUCGUCCGGGAGCCACCACAGCAGCCACAAAAAACGGAAGAACAAAAACCGACACAGGUAUGUAUAUUAGGUUAGGCUGGGAAGUUUUUUUUAAAAACAGAAAAGCGUGAUGGAGGAUUGAUCUCAAGUUAAACAAAAAGCCAAGAGCCGACUACUAGAGUCACGGGUGCCGAUGCCGCUGGGGUUUAGGUCCACGAGUCCCCUCUGAGAAAACCGCCGGUGGGCUGAAGGAGCAGGACGGCAGCUCUGCCCACGCUCUGCAGACGGAGCCGCUCGCUCUAAAGAACUCAACGGGGGGGAGAAAAUCUUGGGCCAUGUCCUGCGCAUCGUGUGUCGGUCCCCGCGGUUGCAGGGGGCGCAGCAGCGGCGGCAGCUGGGAUUCCGACUUCCACCUCCGCCGGGAGCUCCUCAACUUGGCUGCUCCUGCUGCUGCCGCCCCCUCCUCUGCAAACCCAUGGGGGUGUUUCUUUCUCCACUGGAACCGGGGUAUGAGUCAGUACGUCCAUCCGUGUUGUAGGGCUUAGAUUACUUUUGUUGCUGAUACUUAGCUUUGUAGUUUAAUUUUUGUUUGGGGGUUGGUGUGUAUUUUGUUGGUGUUGUGUUUGGGUUUUUUCUUUUUUUUUAAACCAAAGUGUAUAGUUAACAAAUUGACUUUUGGUUUCUUUAUUUUAAUCCAUGCAAAGUGGAAGGUUCUUCAUUUUGUGGAACAGCUGAUUUUGAUUCUUACUCAAGCAGAGAAGGGGGUGGUGAACCCUUUUCUCCCACCACCAUCCCCUAAAACUCAUGCAGUGCUUUUAGCUGCAGGGAAGGCUGGAGCUCAGAACCCUCUUGCUCUUUCCUAUCUUUGAGGCUGGGUGGAUUCUCUUUUUAAUACAAACUUCUGUCAUUUGUACAUAAACAAUAAAAGUUACGUGUUUGUCUCUCUUCUACCGCUUUGUUCAGUUCAAAA